rnacentral:rRNA from 1 species
UACGUAGGGGGCAAGCGUUGUCCGGAUUUAUUGGGCGUAAAGAGCGUGUAGGCGGCCAUACAGGUCGGCUGUGAAAACUCGAGGCUCAACCUCGAGACGUCGGUUGAAACCGUAUGGCUAGAGUCCGGAAGAGGAGAGUGGAAUUCCCGGUGUAGCGGUGAAAUGCGCAGAUAUCGGGAAGAACACCCGUGGCGAAGGCGGCUCUCUGGGACGGUACUGACGCUGAGACGCGAAAGCGUGGGGAGCGAACAGG